AGUGAACGCUGGCGGUAGGCCUAACACAUGCAAGUCGAACGGCAGCACAGUAAGAGCUUGCUCUUACGGGUGGCGAGUGGCGGACGGGUGAGGAAUACAUCGGAAUCUACUUUUUCGUGGGGGAUAACGUAGGGAAACUUACGCUAAUACCGCAUACGACCUACGGGUGAAAGCAGGGGAUCUUCGGACCUUGCGCGAUUGAAUGAGCCGAUGUCGGAUUAGCUAGUUGGCGGGGUAAAGGCCCACCAAGGCGACGAUCCGUAGCUGGUCUGAGAGGAUGAUCAGCCACACUGGAACGGAGACACGGCCCAGACUCCUACGGGAGGCAGCAGUGGGGAAUAUUGGACAAGGGCGCAAGCCUGAUCCAGCCAUACCGCGUGGGUGAAGAAGGCCUUCGGGUUGUAAAGCCCUUUUGUUGGGAAAGAAAAGCAGCAGGUUAAUACCCCGCUGUUCUGACGGUACCCAAAGAAUAAGCACCGGCUAACUUCGUG
rnacentral:rRNA from 1 species